rnacentral:misc_RNA from 1 species
GAUGAAGAACGUAGCGAAACGCGAUAAGUAAUGUGAAUUGCAGAAUUCAGUGAAUCAUCGAAUCUUUGAACGCACAUUGCGCCCGCUGGUAUUCCGGCGGGCAUGCCUGUUCGAGCGUCAUUUCAACCCUCAAGCUCUCCGGAGUUUGGUGUUGGGGCGCCUGGGGCUUUUCGACCUCAGGGCCCUCAAGUCCAUCGGCGGGACCGCCAGGACACUGAGCGCAGUAGUAUUAUUUCGCUCGGUAGGAUCUUCCACGGCGGGUCGAUCUGGCCGCUAAACCCCCCAAUUCUCACCAAAGGUUGACCUCGGAUCAGGUAGGAAUACCCGCUGAACUUAAGCAUAUCAAUAAGCGGAGGA